AGUUUGUUCUGGUAUGAGCUUUCGUGUGCAUGCACACUUGGUAUCUGAAGAAGUGUGCAUGCACACGAAAGCUCAUACCAAGAACAAACU
rnacentral:miRNA from 1 species